GGGGCCUGGGUGGCUCAGUGGGUUAAGUGUCCAACUCUUGAUUUCAGCUCAGGUCAUGAUCUCAGGGUCGUGUGAUCGAGCUCCGUGUUGGACUCGACACUCAGCAGUCUGCUCCAGGUUCUCUCUCUCCCUUUCCCUCUGCCCCUCCCCCUGCUCUCUCUAUCUCUAAAAUCAAUAAAAUCUUUAAAAGGCUUAGAAAUAUAUAAUAAAGACUUUCUAAUCUAUAAGACAGCUAUGAGUAUAAAUUGAAUUAUUUAGAAUAAAAAUCCAUGUGGUCAAGAAUAAAUCCCAAAUAAUGUGAAUGACACAUUUUAGUUGAUGCAAAAUGUGCCCUUUAACAACAUGUAAACAUAGUUGGUAUUUAAAUAACAGUUAUGUUCAGUACUGUAUUCUUCUAGAGCUGAAGGAUAAAGUCUCUGUCCUGCACAUGUUCUGUAAGAACAAGAUGAAAAAUUGCUUGAGGCUUUAUUUGUAUCCAAACAUGAGAGACUUGCAACACAUGCAAAGGUUGUAAAUUAGACCAUUUAAAAAUGUCCUAAAACCUGUUUGCUGAAAAGUCGUGCUGCAUACUGAGAGUUUACCUGUAGUAGAAGAUGGCAACAGGUUACAUUUGCAUUUUCUUUUAGGGCUAAGCAGUAAAAAGUUAUUUUUCUUUAUUCUGCCUCCAAUGUGAAGUAUUUGGAACCACAAGUUCCUCCUGUCCUUCAUCACUACUAAAGAACUACACACAUUUGAUAAUAGUGUACACAGUUAAUGGGAAUGUUACAUUGUUCAUAUUUUUAUGGUGGAGACCAAAGCAUAUUUCAUGGUUUGGGUAUAAUUUAAAAGAUGCAUUCUUCUGAGAAACUGAUUUCUUUUAUAAACAAAAUGCAAAUGCCUUAAAUAUUUCUUCAUUUUAAUGUGAUAAAUAGAAUUGCUUUUAAAGCCAUAGUCUGGUAUGGCUUGAUAAUCAGGUACACAUGAAGUAUUCAAGAUAAGAGCAUAAUGGUAUUGAUUUUCAGAACUUUAGAAAAUAUUGCUUGUGGGCAAAAGAAAGAAGGAAUGUUUAAAGCCAACUGUUCACUUUACUGUUUUAAUUUUUACCUUGUUUUCCGUUUUCAGGAGACAAGAGUGUAUAUCAUCUCAGAUACUAAAAAUAUUCCUCUGAAAGCUUUUAGUUUUUCAGGGGUAGUAGUCAACUAUUGUUUUCUUACUGUACAUGAAACGCCUAGAGAAAGUGACGUCUUUAGCCAAAUUAAUAAAACAUAGGAUAGAAAAUGCUUAGGCCAAUUUAUUCAUGUCCCUCUGAUAUUAAUUGUAUAGUUGAUAGCUAUGUAGAUUUUAGCAAUUUGUUGAGCAACUAACCUGGUUUCAAAAUGGGAUCUAGUUGCUCUCAAACUUUUCAGUCUCAGAAGCCCCUUCACAUUCUUAAAAAUUAUUGAGGGGCCCAGAGAGAGAGAACUUUUAUAGGGAUGUUAUCUGUUGACCUACAAAUAUUAGAGAUUAAGACACAUUUUCAGAAUAUUAAUUCAUUUUAAAAUAAAAAUAAACCCAUCAUUUGUUAACAUGAAGAACAAUAUUAUAAAAAUAACUAUUUUCUUUAAAAAGUUAGUAGAAUAGCAGUAUUUUACAUUUUUGCAAAAUCUCUUUAAUCUCUGACUUACAGAAGACAGCUGAAUCUAUCUGAUAAUGAAUGAAAAGUGGAGUUGGUAAUUUAGAGAGUCAGUUGGUUAUCCAUGUCAAAACAAUUUCAGAGACAGUCAUUUGAAGACAAGGACCAUGUCUCUUGCACACCAGGUUAUCCUCAGAGUCUGGCACAGUGUUGGGCAUAUAGUAGAGGGCCAGAUGAUAUUUGGUGUGUAAACUAUAUUGCAGUGGGUUGAGACACAAACAGGAGGUGGAGAUAUAGAUUCAAGGAGUACAAACACCUCCUUCAAGGCACAUGGUUGAGAAAAGAGAAAUGUCUCAGGUGCGUGGAGGCAGGAUCAGCAGAGGACUUAUAUUUUUUAAUUUUUUUAUUUAAAAAAAUUUUUAAAAAGAUUUAUUUACUUGAGAGAGAACACACGAGCAGGGGGGAGGGGUAGAGGGAGAAGCAGGCUCCCUGCUGAGCAGGGUCCUCCCCCCCACCCCCACGCAGAACUCGAUCCCAGGACCCUGGGAUCAUGACCUGAGCUGAAGGCAGAUGCCCAACUGACUGAGCCACCGAGGCACCCAGCAGAGGACUUUUAAAAGAGUAUUUCUAUGUGAGGGUAAACAAUACUGAACAAAAAAACAGCAGAGAGAAGUUGAGAACACAGUUGUACUUCCUAUGCUGACAACAGGCCUCUGAGCGCUGGAAAUAUGGAGGCAACUGAUCAGUGCCCAUGUGGGUAGGUACGGGCUGGCUACAAACCACGGAGGGAGUUGGCAGCACAGAAGGGACCAAAUAAAUUUAUAGUAGAGUCACGGAUGGAGCAUUCUUCCUGUAAGAACUCCUGGGAACUUUGGUGAUUUACCUCACAGACCAUCUGGUUUCAUUCAUGAUCCUUGGGAGCAUUCUCAAGUGAUCCCCACAUUCAGGGAAACUCCUUUACCUCCUUUUGUACGGAAGCUUCUGGCUGAGCUGGGUCUGAGGCUAGCCUCUUCUGUGAUAAUCUCCAAUCCUCGAGGGAGCACCAGACGUGUCUCAGCAUGAUAUCAUGGCCAUCCUGGGACUCUGGAGAACAACCAAGGGCUUCUUUUUAUGGCUCUUUGUAAGAUUUCUUCAUACUGCAUGAAAAUAAGAAACAGCUUUGUUAGAAAUCUGUCAUCUGGGGCACCUGGGUUGCUCAGUUGGUUAGGUGGCUGCCCUUGGCUCAGGGUCCUGGGAUCGAGCCCCACAUCAGGCUCCCUGCUCAGUGGGGGAGCCUGCUUCUCCCUCUGUCCCUCCCCCUCAACUUGUGUGCACUCUCUCAAAUAAAUAAAUAAAAUCUUUUAAAAAUAUCUGUCAUCUUACAACUGAGGCCAGACUAGUACCCUAGUACCAGUGGUAAACCCAGGAGCACAACCUGAGUCUCUUGUUUCUCAGGCCAGUCUAUUUUGUAGUUUUUGAAUCCUUUCCUUUCUGAAGGUAAUAUAUUAUCAAAGGUAGCUAGUUCUCACAUAAUAGGGAGAAUGAAAGGGUUAUUAAAAGAAUUGUUUCCUGGGGCACCUGGGUGGCUCAGUAGUUAAGCGUCUGCCUUCGGCUCCGGUCAUGAUCCCAGGAUUCUGGGAUCAAGCCCCGCA